CAGAUGACAAGGUUUCCAGCAUGAUUAUUGCUAUGACUGAUGGAACAAUGAUGAAACAUCCAUCUUUGGACACUCUCAAAGAAAUAACAGCAAUGGCAGGCGGUCCGGACCAUGUGUUUGCAGUGGAGGAUGGCUUCAAGGCCCUGAGAAGCACUGUUGAUGCUGUGAGUGAGUGGAGGUGAGGGGCUGGGGGUCUGGCUCCUGUGGCCAGAAGCUCACUCUCCCUGCCCUGCCCCACCCCUCCUGUGUUCCACCUCAUGUCAAAGACCUGUCUUGAAGUGACGUCUGUGGAGCCUUCCUCUGAGUGUGUAGGAAAAUCCUACCAUGUGGUUAUUCAUGGAAAUGGCUUUCAGAAUCUAAAGAAACGGGAUGAAGUUAUUUGCAGAUUUAUCUUCAGUGAAAGCACUAUCAUUGGGAGUACUUCAUUGAAGUCAGCUUGAACAACGGCAAAACAUUCAAGAGCAAUGUCAGCAUCACCAGCACCACAUGUGGCAAUCUGGAUAUCUUCCGUGACCUCUCUCACCCAAGCUGCUGCCAGGUGCCAUGGAUGUGGUGUCAGCACAGGGGCCAGAUGUUACAAACUGACUUCAAAACAAUGUUUGCAGACUCGUGGAACAAAUACCACGGAGCAGCACCUAGCACAGAGGAAGGCCCCCUGCCCUGGGCAUCUGUGGGAAACCAGGGCCCAAGUCUGCGGUGAGCUGGUGCAGAAACUCUGAGCUGAGGAGCUAACAUUACACCCAUCUGCAACUGAGAGAACCUGCCAGGCUCCAGCAAAACCAAACAGGACAUUCUCCCCAGGAGACACCGUCCUCAUCCAGGGGAACCAGGAUUCUCAUGGAAAAUCAUUUCCUACUGAAGACGAGGUCAGAGGAAAAACUCCCAGGUAUCCCAAAGAGAGGCAGCAGAUACAAGAAACAAGGAGAUUCAAA
rnacentral:lncRNA from 10 species